rnacentral:rRNA from 1 species
AGUCACUGACAUUAGAUACCCGGGUAGUCCAGGGUGUAAACGCUGCAGACUUGGUGUUGGGGGGCCCUUUGGGGGCAUUCAGUGCCGGAGAGAAGUUGUUAAGUCUGCUACUUGGGGAGUACGUCCGCAAGGAUGAAACUUAAGGAAUUGGCGGGGGAGCACCGCAACGGGAGGAGCGUGCGGUUUAAUUGGAUUCAACACCGUAAACUCACCAGGGAAGACUGUUACAUGAAGGCCGAGAUGAAGACUCUGCUAGAUUUUCAG